rnacentral:tRNA from 1 species
AGCUCAGUUGGUAGAGCAGCUCACUCGUAAUGAGCAGGUCUGGGGUUCGACUCCCCACGUCG